GCAUGUUCAACAUAGUAUUAUAUAUAUAAUAUUGGAAAAGCAUCGAGGUAAAAAACUAAACUACCAACAAGAGGAGAAUGGACUAUUAUGCACCCAUAUAAAAUAUUUACAUGAAAUAGUCAAUCAUAUGGUAAAAUGUUAAUGUAAAGUUAAAAAGUAGAAGACUUGCAGACAGCUCUUUCCCAUCUUGCAAGAUGGCGGGUGAAAAAGUUGAGAAGCCAGAUACUAAAGAGAAGAAACCAGAAGCCAAGAAGGCUGAUGCCAGUGGCAAAGUAAAAAGGGGUAACUUCAAGGCUAAAAAGCUCAAGAAGGGAAGGCCCCACUGCAGCCAAAAUCCUGUUCUCAUCAGAGGAAAUGGCAGAGGAAUAUUCCCCAUCUGCUAUGUAUUCUAGAAAGGCCACGCACAACAGGAAAUACUCAGUGGGUAAAAUUCAAGGUUGAAAAGAAAAAGAAGGCGAAGGUGCUUGCCACGGUUACAAAACUAGCUGGUGGUGACAAGACUGGUGGUACUCAGGUGGUUAAACUUUGCAAAAGGCCUAGAUAAUAUCCAACUGAAGAUGUGCUUCUAAAGCUGUUGAGCCAUGGCAAAAAAUACACUUUAGCCAACACGUCAGAAACCUGCAAGCUAGCAUCACUCCAGAACCACCCUCAUCAUCCUCACCUGGUGUCACAGAGGCAAGAGGGUUUUCCCAAAGCAACUGGGCAGUGGUUUGUUACUUUUGACUGGACCUCUGUCCCUUAAUCAAGUUCCUCUGCAAAGGACACACCAGAAAUUUGUCAUCGGCACAAAAAUUGACGUCAGCAACGUGAAAAUCCCUAAGCAUCUCACUGAUGCUUCCUUCAAGAAGCAGCAUCUGUGGGAUCCCAGACACCAUGAGGGUCAGAUCUUUGACACAGAAAAAGAGAAACACAAGAUUACACAACAACGCAAAGUGGAUCUGAAAGCUGCAGACUCCCCAAUUUUACCAAAAAUCAAGGCAAUUCCUCAGCUCCAGGGCUCUCUGCGAUCUCUGUUUGCCCUGACAAAUGGAAUUUAUCCUCACAGAUUGGUAUUCUAAAUUUUUACAAAGAACCUAAUUAAAUAACUGAAAGAUAAAA